rnacentral:misc_RNA from 1 species
GGGGGCAUCCAGCGUGAUGACUCUAUAGCCUAGUGUGAACGUACCUAUCUUGUAGUGAGAUGAAUGCUGUUUUGGUGGUAGGGCCCUUCUGAAGAGAGGGCACCGCUGCCAGCAGUAUAGUCUCACCACUAUAAAACUCUUUUAUUAUUUUCUAGAUUUUUCAUUGCUGAGUGGCAUAACUAUAAAAAAGUUAAAACUUUCAACAACGGAUCUCUUGGCUCUAGCAUCGAUGAAGAACGCAGCGAAAUGCGAUAAGUAAUGUGAAUUGCAGAAUUCAGUGAAUCAUCGAAUCUUUGAACGCACAUUGCGCCUGGCAGUAUUCUGCCAGGCAUGCCUGUCCGAGCGUCAUUUCACCACUCAAGACUCUUUUGUUCUUGGCGUUGGAGGUCCUGUUCUCCCCUGAACAGGCCGCCGAAAUGUAUCGGCUGUUAUACUUGCCAACUCCCCUGUGUAGUAUAAAAUUUCUAAUUUUUCACACUUUGAAGUUCUUGUGUAACACGCCGCUAAACCCGCUCAACUUUUGUUGAACUUUUCACAAGGUUGACCUCGGAUCAGGUAGGAAUACCCGCUGAACUUAAGCAUAUCAAUAAGCGAGGGGAAAAACCCUAUUUCUUUUUUUCGAACACAAAAAGCCUUGUGUGAAAAAACUUAUCAAAAAAUGGGGGAAGGGCUGUAUUGUGGGAAAAACCGUUGUAAUUAAGCGUAACACUGGAAAAAUCAGUUGUCUUUAAAUUGACCGGGAAAAAAAAGACAGACGAAACAAACGCUUAUAUUUCUCACAAUUUUUAUUUUAAAGCCACCGGGCCGAGAUCAUAAUAGAAAAGAAGGGAAUAGUUAUGUGAAUUGUAUAUAUCACGCAAUACAAAUUUUAAAAUAGCGCCGGAAUAAUCCCCGCAUCUGUCGAGCAAUUUUCUUCCAAACCUUU